GACGAACGCUGGCGGCGUGCUUAACACAUGCAAGUCGAACGGAAAGGCCCUGCUUUUGUGGGGUGCUCGAGUGGCGAACGGGUGAGUAACACGUGAGUAACCUGCCCUUGACUUUGGGAUAACUUCAGGAAACUGGGGCUAAUACCGGAUAGGAGCUCCUGCUGCAUGGUGGGGGUUGGAAAGUUUCGGCGGUUGGGGAUGGACUCGCGGCUUAUCAGCUUGUUGGUGGGGUAGUGGCUUACCAAGGCUUUGACGGGUAGCCGGCCUGAGAGGGUGACCGGCCACAUUGGGACUGAGAUACGGCCCAGACUCCUACGGGAGGCAGCAGUGGGGAAUAUUGCACAAUGGGCUGAAGCCUGAUGCAGCAACGCCGCGUGCGGGAUGACGGCCUUCGGGUUGUAACCCGCUUUCGCCAGUGACGAAGCGUGAGUGACGGUAAUGGGUAAAGAAGCACCGGCUAACUACGUG
rnacentral:rRNA from 1 species